rfam:Glycine soja cultivar W05 scaffold3162_26, whole genome shotgun sequence.
UUUUUAUUGGAUGUUAACCGUCAUGUGUUCUAUUUUUAUUGAAUGUUAACUUUGUGCACCUAAUUUGAGGAACGCCUAAUAAAAGUGCGACACCUGACAAUCAACGUCC